CGCAGCAUGUGAUUAAGUGGGAAUCUUUGGAAAGACAGAACCAGGAGGAUCCACAGUAAUCCUCAGUGGGACCUUGUACGGAGGAAGCGAGUGGGGGAGUGGGGGAGGGGUGUGAAGGGCACCCUGUCAGGUCACUUUCCUGUCUAGAUUCUCUCCCACUCCAACACUGCUGAGCGCCUAAGGACUCAACCACAGAGACGAUCCUGUGUGGCUUCCUCCCGUGUGUUUCCCUAGCGGCUUAUUUUUGGCUGCUGCUGCCUCUGACAUUUCUUGCAUGCCCAGACGGAGCCUUCGGAAGCCUCGCCCACCCCUGUCACUCUGGGCCAGCCAGCGGUUCUCGACCUACGGGUCCUGACCAUCGGAAAACAAACAGAUUCUGAGGCAAUGGUUCCUUAAAGCUUCUUGGGAUCAGUGAACACUGUAAAAUCCUCCUGAUUGCAGAUCGAGCUGCAGUUCCGAAAUGCUUUCUGAAGCAUGAGCUAUGUGACAGGUAAAGUCAAAACACAAAGUUAAGAAAUUGCAGGUCCCUCUCCUCCUCCUCCCUGACCCAAAUACUGACAUGCCCAGACCACUCACAUGAUUUCCCUGCACACCAGGCACCCGGAUUUCUUCCCAUUCU
rnacentral:lncRNA from 1 species